GACGGUAGGGCGCGAGCGUUGUCCGGAUUUAUUGGGCGUAAAGAGCUCGUAGGCGGCUUGUCGCGUCGAAUGUGAAAACCCGGGGCUCAACCCCGGGCCUGCAUUCGAUACGGGCAGACUAGAGUUCGGUAGGGGAGUCUGGAAUUCCUGGUGUAGCGGUGAAAAUGCGCAGAUAUCAGGAGGAACACCGGUGGCGAAGGCGGGACUCUGGGCCGAUACUGACGCUGAGGAGCGAAAGCGUGGGGAGCAAACAGG
rnacentral:rRNA from 1 species